rnacentral:rRNA from 1 species
GCUCAAAAGAUAGCCGACAAUAAACACCAACCCCCCCCCCAUACCACCUAAACCAAAACAUUUGUUUAGAUUAGUAGAUGAGAUCGAACACCACUCCGGCCUUAUAAGUACCGCAAGGGAAAAAUGAAAGAAUAUUGAAAAACACAAAGCACAAAAUAGCAAAGACAAACCCCUGUACCUCUUGCAUCAUGGUCUAGCAAAACCCCACCAGACAAAGCGAACCUUUAGUCUGUCCACCCGAAACCAAACGAGCUAUUUUUAGGCAGUAAUAAACCAGAACGCACCCGUCCCUGUAGCAAAAGGGUGGGAAGACCUAAAAAUAGGGGCAAAAAGCCAAUCGAGUUUGGUGAUAGCUGGUUACUCAACAAAGAAUAUGAGUUCAACUUUAGGUCUUCAACGAGCCCACCCCUAACCUCGCCACUUAAAACCUAAAGAAAACCAACGGGGGUACAGCCCCGUUGGUCCGGGACACAGCCCGAAUUGAGAGCGGCUCCUUUUUUCCUUUUAGUAGGCCUCAAAGCAGCCACCAAACAACCGCGUUAUAGCAUUAACCUCAAACUAAUCCCAAUAAUUUAAUCAGCCUCCUACCACAUCAUGAGUUAUUCUAUACCCCUAUAGAAAUACUAAUGCUAAAAUUAGUAAUAAGAAACACUUAUUUCUCUUUGCACCCCCUUAAGUCAGAAUAGAAAAACCACUGACAAUUAACAAACACACACACAAUAUCUAGACAGAGUGUUCCUCCCCUUGUUACCCCGACACAGGUGUGCAAAAAAGAAAGGUCUAAAGCCGCAAAAGGAACUCGGCAAAAACUAGUCCCAACUGUUUACCAAAAACAUAGCCUUUAGCCUUACAAGUAUUAAAGGUACCGCCUGCCCAGUGACUCUUUUAACGGCCGCGGUAUCCUAACCGUGCAAAGGUAGCAUAAUCACUUGUCCCUUAAAUCGGGACUGGAAUGAACGGCUAAAUGAGGACUAAACUGUCUCUUGUAGGCUGACCAAUGAAAUUGAUCUUCCAGUACAAAAGCUGGAAUAAAACCAUAAGACGAGAAGACCCUGUGGAGCUUCAAAACCGAACUCAUUAAACAUGACCCCCUCGGAUUUUUAGUUGGGGCGACUUCGGAGAACAAAAAAACCUCCAAAACAUGACCAUCUGUCCACCUUGCUAAGGUCCACACACCAAAGCAACCACAUAAGACCCAGCAACCACCCACGCAUUGUCUGAUCAAUGAACCAAGUUACCCCAGGGAUAACAGCGCCAUCCCCUUCCAGAGUCCAUAUCGACAAGGGGGUUUACGACCUCGAUGUUGGAUCAGGACACCCCAAUGGUGCAGCCGCCAUUAAAGGUUCGUUUGUUCAACGAUUAAUAGUCCUACGUGAUCUGAGUUCAGACCGGAGAAAUCCAGGUCGGUUUCUAUCUAUGAGGCCCUAUUUUCAGUACGAAAGGACCAAGAUAGCAGGACCAAUACCAAAAGAAUGUCCUAACUAAAACUAUUGACACUUACUAAAAAAACACCAGUGCCCACCCACCUGGCCCAAAACUAGGGCUU